UACGGAGGGGGCUAGCGUUGUUCGGAAUUACUGGGCGUAAAGCGCACGUAGGCGGACCAGAAAGUCAGGGGUGAAAUCCCGGGGCUCAACCCCGGAACUGCCUUUGAAACUUCUGGUCUUGAGGUCGAGAAAGGUGAGUGGAAUUCCGAAUGUAGAGGUGAAAUUCGUAGAUAUUCGGAGGAACACCAGUGGCGAAGGCGGCUCACUGGCACGAUACUGACGCUGAGGUGCGAAAGCGUGGGGAGCAAACAGG
rnacentral:rRNA from 1 species